GAUGAACGCUGGCGGCGUGCCUCAAACAUGCAAGUCGAGCGGGGCUAUGUAAUAUCGCAAGGUAGAACAUAGCCUAGCGGCGAACGGGUGAGUAACACGUGGGUAACCUGCCUGGAAGACAGGGAUAACGAUUCGAAAGGGUCGCUAAUACCUGAUAAUAUCCUUUCAUCGCAUGGUGAUAGGAAGAAAGGGGAAACCCGCUUUCAGAUGGGCCCGCGUCCCAUCAGCUAGUUGGUAAGGUAAAGGCUUACCAAGGCGACGACGGGUAGCCGGUCUGAGAGGAUGUACGGCCACACUGGGACUGAGAUACGGCCCAGACUCCUACGGGAGGCAGCAGUUGGGAAUCUUAGGCAAUGGACGAAAGUCUGACCUAGCGACGCCGCGUGAGGGAAGAAGGCCUUCGGGUUGUAAACCUCUGUUAUGGGGGAAGAAGUAAGUGACGGUACCCCAAGAGGAAGCCCCUGCUAACUACGUG
rnacentral:rRNA from 1 species